rnacentral:lncRNA from 1 species
GAAUGGUAGAAAGCAGUCUUCAGCCUGAGACCCAUCCCUAGACUCUAUGGCACAAAGAGGCACUACAGAAAAUCCCAGAAUUUAUUCUGACUGAAGCAAUAUGCAACUGGCAAAACUGGCAGCUGAAAGGAUCCUGAAUAAGAAGUUUACUUUAUCAGGACACAGAACUUAACUUGACAACCAGAGUCUUACAUUUAAAAAUACCUGAAUAAAACUCACUCACUAACUCAGAAGAAAUUUGAAAGACUAUGAAAAUCUUUGAAUACAAUGUAGAAGUUUUUAUUCCAAAACAGUGAAAAGGAGAGAGAGUAGAAGAGGAGAGAAGAGAGGAAGGAAGAAAAGGAGAGAAGAUGAGAAAAAAAAGCAAGUAGUGUCUUAAAUGGGAGAAAAAGUGAUAAGGAAAUAGUUUAAUUUAUUAAAGUCAAAGUUCAAUAAAAGUAAAUUAACUGC